UGGUGGAGUGAUUUGUCUGGUUGAUUCCGAUAACGAACGAGACGGGGGAGUUUACUAGGUUUUGAGUUUAUUCGCGUAAGCUCGACCUUCUUUACUCGACAACUCGGUUUUACCGAGAGGAAGCGCCCCGCAAUAACA
rnacentral:rRNA from 1 species